rnacentral:rRNA from 1 species
GAUGAACGCUGGCGGCGUGCCUAAUACAUGCAAGUCGAGCGAACAGACGAGGAGCUUGCUCCUCUGACGUUAGCGGCGGACGGGUGAGUAACACGUGGAUAACCUACCUAUAAGACUGGGAUAACUUCGGGAAACCGGAGCUAAUACCGGAUAAUAUAUUGAACCGCAUGGUUCAAUAGUGAAAUACGGUUUUGCUGUCACUUAUAGAUGGAUCCGCGCCGCAUUAGCUAGUUGGUAAGGUAACGGCUUACCAAGGCAACGAUGCGUAGCCGACCUGAGAGGGUGAUCGGCCACACUGGAACUGCGACACGGUCCAGACUCCUACGGGAGGCAGCAGUAGGGAGUCUUCCGCAAUGGGCGAAAGCCUGACGGAGCAACGCCGCGUAAGUGAUGAAGGUCUUCGGAUCGUAAAACUCUGUUAUUAGGGAAGACCAAAUGUGUAAGUAACUAUGCACGUCUUGACGGUACCUAAUCAGAAAGCCACGGCUAACUACGUG